rnacentral:rRNA from 1 species
GAUGAACGCUGACAGAAUGCUUAACACAUGCAAGUCUUUGGCGAAGCUGUGCUUGCACAGCCUAGCCAAGGCGGACGGGUGAGUAACGCGUAAGGAACUUGCCCUGCAGUCAGGGAUAACAGACGGAAACGACUGAUAAGACCUGGUAAAGUCAGGCGGACUCAUGUCCAGCCUGAUUAAAAGAGAUUCUGCAGGAGAGCCUUGCGUCCUAUUAGCUUGUUGGUGGGGUAACGGCCCACCAAGGCGAUGAUAGGUAGCCGGCCUGAGAGGGUGGACGGACACAAGGGGACGGAGAUACGGCCCUUACUACUAAGGGAGGCAGCAGUGGGGAAUAUUGGACAAUGGGGGCAACCCUGAUCCAGCAAUUCUGUGUGAACGAUGAAGGUUUUCGGAUUGUAAAGUGCUUUCAGCAGGGAAGAAAAAAUGACGGUACCUGCAGAAGAAGCGACGGCUAAAUACGUG